UUACGCUGUUAUCCCUAAGGUAAUUUAGUCUUAUAAUCAAAACAAUUUGGAUCAACAAAAUACUUAUUAAUAAAAAACAUUAAAUAGAGUUUAUUAUUUCUAUCCAUCACCCCAACAAAAUAAUUUAUUUAAAGAAAAUAUAUUAUAAAACAAUAAUUCAAUUAAUAAAUUAUUAAACUCUAUAGGGUCUUCUCGUCCCAUAAAAAAAUUUAAGCUUUUUAACUUAAUAAUUAAAUUCAACAAAAAUUAAAAUAAGACAAUUUAUAUCUCGUCAAACCAUUCAUUCAAGUCCCCAAUUAAAAAACUAAUGAUUAUGCUACCUUUGCACGGUCAAAAUACCGCGGCCAUUAAACCCUAUGGUCAGUGGGCAGGUCAUACUUCAUAUAAAAAUUAAGAAGAAAAUGUUUUUGUUAAACAGGCG
rnacentral:rRNA from 1 species